UACGUAGGGAGCAAGCGUUGUCCGGAAUUACUGGGCGUAAAGGGCGCGUAGGUGGGCGCUUAAGUCAGGUGUGAAAACUCCGGGCUCAACCUGGAGACUGCACUUGAAACUGUGUGACUGGAGUGCAGGAGAGGUAAGCGGAAUUCCUGGUGUAGCGGUGAAAUGCGUAGAUAUCAGGAGGAACACCAGUGGCGAAGGCGGCUUACUGGACUGUAACUGACGUUGAGGCUCGAAAGCGUGGGGAGCAAACAGG
rnacentral:rRNA from 1 species